UACGUAGGGUGCGAGCGUUGUCCGGAAUUAUUGGGCGUAAAGAGCUCGUAGGCGGUCUGUCGCGUCGAUCGUGAAAACUUGGGGCUUAACCCUGAGCUUGCGGUCGAUACGGGCAUGACUGGAGUUCGGCAGGGGAGACUGGAAUUCCUGGUGUAGCGGUGAAAUGCGUAGAUAUCUGGAGGAAUACCGGUGGCGAAGGCGGCAUCCUGGACCGGCAUUGACGCUGAUGAGCGAAAGCUAGGGGAGCAAACGGG
rnacentral:rRNA from 1 species